AUAUCGUUUGCCCCUCCAUGCUGCUAGCAGCAAACUUCAAGUCGUGAGGUCUAGUGGCCACACCCUGCUUCGAAGCGCGCCAACGAAGUUACUUGUCUUUUUGGAACAAACUUUUUGCUCGUUUCUUUAACAAAUUUAUCGUUUUAAAAGUCUAUUUAACUUGUCGAAAGUGUGUUUUAAACGUUUUUUUUAUUGCUACUCGUAAAAUAUUAGAUUUUUUGAGUUAAAAAUUCGACGCCAAACGCGUUAAUGUCGGAAUGUAACAUGCUUAUUUUUUCUACUCGGAAAAAGUUCGGGAAUACCACGUGAAUCUUUUAUUAUUUUCGUUUUUUAAAGUAUAAUCAGUAUAAUUAUUUAAAUAUUUAGUUAACUUUCGAUAAAUUUUUCUUCGGAUUGUUCGUUUUUUGAGUCUCGUGAAUUUGUAAAUUUGAGGUUAAAUUGACUUCUUUGUCGUAAAUGCGUGUGGCGUGCGCUAAAGUUACUGGCGGUUAUUAAUUAUAUGUAUUUGUAAUAAUUUUUCGAGCAGUGGUGUAAAUUUUGCGAUACUUUAUCAAACGGCAAUUUACGUGUUAUUAUUUAUCGAAAUAUUGGGCAGUAAUUUAUUCAUUGUUAGGUAUUCACGUGUGUUGAGUGUUCCAAGUGGAAAAGUGUUGCAGGCAUGGAAAAAGAUCGCAUAGACAGUAGAAAGCAGUUCAUUGCAUUUUGGAUAAUACGAUAAAAGACAAAAGGGAAUAAUAACCUGGUUUGAGUUGCAAAAAAAGAUCUGAAGAGAGGAGAGAUAAUUCGGAAUUACCUUGAAGGGCUGCGACAAUGGCUCCCAUUGAUGGCUGGCUCGUCAUUCCGGACAUGCUGUCGACAGCAACGUCAACAACGUCAGCUCCACUUUGAGCGCAGGCCAGCA